rnacentral:rRNA from 1 species
ACGGCUCAGUAACACGUGGAUAACCUGCCCUAGGGAAGGGGAUAACCCCGGGAAACUGGGGAUAAUACCCUAUAGAUUACAGAUGCUGGAAUGCCCUGUAAUCCAAAGUUCCGACGCCCUAGGAUGGAUCUGCGGCCGAUUAGGUUGUUGUUGGGGUAAUGGCCCAACAAGCCCGUAAUCGGUACGGGUUGUGGGAGCAAGAGCCCGGAGUUGGAUUCUGAGACACGAAUCCAGGCCCUACGGGGCGCAGCAGGCGCGAAAACUUUACAAUGCGGGCAACCGUGAUAAGGGAACCUCGAGUGCCUGUAAAUGCAGGCUGUUCAGGUGCCUAAAACACACCUGAAGAAAGGGCCGGGCAAGACCGGUGCCAGCCGCCGCGGUAAUACCGGCGGCUCGAGUGGUGGCCGCUUUUAUUGGGCUUAAAGCGUUCGUAGCUGGGUUGUUAAGUCUCUUGGGAAAUCUGGCGGCUUAACCGUCAGGCGUCUAAGGGAUACUGGCAAUCUUGGAACCGGGAGAGGUGAGGGGUACUUCGGGGGUAGGAGUGAAAUCCUGUAAUCCUCGAGGGACCACCUGUGGCGAAGGCGCCUCACCAGAACGGCUUCGACAGUGAGGGACGAAAGCUGGGGGAGCAAACCGGAUUAGAUACCCGGGUAGUCCCAGCCGUAAACUAUGCGCGUUAGGUGUAUCGGUGACCACGAGUUACCGAGGUGCCGAAGGGAAACCGUGAAACGUGCCGCCUGGGAAGUACGGUCGCAAGGCUGAAACUUAAAGGAAUUGGCGGGGGAG